AACGAACGCUGGCGGCGUGCUUAACACAUGCAAGUCGCACGAGAAAGUCUUCGGACGAGUAAAGUGGCGCACGGGUGAGUAAUAUACGGGAACGUACCUUUAAGUUGGGGAUAACUACUGGAAACGGUAGCUAAUACCGGAUGUGCUCGAGAGAGUAAAGAUGGCCUCUGCUUGCAAGCUAUCGCUUAAAGAGCGGCCCGUUUCCCAUUAGCUAGUUGGUGAGGUAAUGGCUCACCAAGGCAACGAUGGGUAGCUGGUCUGAGAGGACGAUCAGCCACACUGGGACUGAGACACGGCCCAGACUCCUACGGGAGGCAGCAGUGGGGAAUUUUGCGCAAUGGGGGAAACCCUGACGCAGCAACGCCGCGUGAGUGAAGAAGGCCUUUGGGUUGUAAAGCUCUUUCGGCUGGGAAGAAGGGUCUUAAGGUAAACAAUCUUAGGAUCUGACUGUACCAGAAGAAGAAGCACCGGCUAACUCCGUGCCAGCAGCCGCGGUAAUACGGAGGGUGCAAGCGUUGUUCGGAAUUAUUGGGCGUAAAGGGCGCGUAGGCGGGUGUGAAAGUCGGUUGUGAAAUCCCCGGGCUUAACCUGGGAAUUGCAGUCGAUACUCCACAUCUUGAGUGCUUGAGAGGGUGGUGGAAUUCCUGGUGUAGAAGUGAAAUUCGUAGAUAUCAGGAGGAACAUCGGCGGCGAAGGCGGCCACCUGGUGAGACACUGACGCUGAGGCGCGAAAGCGCGGGGAUCAAACAGGAUUAGAUACCCUGGUAGUCCGCGCCGUAAACGAUGGAUACUUGAUGUUCGGGGAGUUAACCCCCUGAGUAUCGAAGCUAACGCAGUAAGUAUCCCGCCUGGGGAGUACGGCCGCAAGGCUA
rnacentral:rRNA from 1 species